CCCUUAGAUGUUCUGGGCCGCACGCGCGCUACACUGACGAAGUCAGCGAGCAUCUCCUUCGCCGAAAGGUGCGGGGAAUCUUGUGAAACUUUGUCGUGCUGGGGAUUGAUUUUUGAAAUUCUUGAUCAUCAACGAGGAAUUCCUAGUAAGCGCAAGUCAGCAGCUUGCGUUGAUUACGUCCCUGCCCUUUGUACACACCGCCCGUCGCUCCUACCGAUUGAGCAUCCCGGUGAAGACUCAGGAGAUAUGUACGUGGCUGGUCUCCAGCUGCGUUGCGUGCCGAAUUUGUCUAAACCUUGAUGCUUAGAGGAAGGAGAAGUCGUAACA
rnacentral:rRNA from 1 species